rnacentral:rRNA from 1 species
CCUACGGGAGGCAGCAGUGAGGAAUAUUGGUCAAUGGGCGCGAGCCUGAACCAGCCACGUCGCGUGAGGGAAGACGGUCCUAUGGAUUGUAAACCUCUUUUGUCGGGGAGCAAAAGACCCCACGCGUGGCGUUCCGAGAGUACCCGAAGAAAAAGCAUCGGCUAACUCCGUGCCAGCAGACGCGGUAAUACGGAGGAUGCGAGCGUUAUCCGGAUUUAUUGGGUUUAAAGGGUGCGCAGGCGGAAUAUCAAGUCAGCGGUAAAAUUGAGGGGCUCAACCUCGGCGAGCCGUUGAAACUGGUUAACUUGAGUGAGUGAGAAGUAAGCGGAAUGCGUGGUGUAGCGGUGAAAUGCAUAGAUAUCACGCAGAACUCCGAUGGCGAAGGCAGCAUACCGGCGCUAAACUGACGCUGAUGCACGAAAGUGUGGGUAGCGAACAGGAUUAGAUACCCGAGUAGUC